UGGCGGACGGGUGAGUAAUGUCUGGGAAACUGCCUGAUGGAGGGGGAUAACUACUGGAAACGGUAGCUAAUACCGCAUAACGUCGCAAGACCAAAGAGGGGGACCUUCGGGCCUCUUGCCAUCAGAUGUGCCCAGAUGGGAUUAGCUAGUAGGUGGGGUAACGGCUCACCUAGGCGACGAUCCCUAGCUGGUCUGAGAGGGUGAUCGGCCACAUUGGGACUGAGACACGGCCCAGACUCCUACGGGAGGCAGCAUG
rnacentral:rRNA from 1 species